UCCAGGGUAGCCUAAAGACAUGGCAUCUGCCCGGUAAGCGGAACACUGUGGGUUCGAUUCCCAUCCCUGGAC
rnacentral:tRNA from 1 species